UACAGAGGAGCCAAGCGUUGUCCGGAUUGACUGGGCGUAAAGCGCACGCAGGCGGACGCGCGCGUGGGGUGUGAAAUCUGGCCGCUUAACGGCCAGGCGCCAUCCCAUACGGCGCGACUGGAGUGAUGCAGAGGUCGAUGGAAUUGCCGGUGUAGUGGUGAAAUGCGUAGAUAUCGGGAGGAACACCAGUGGCGAAGGCGACUUCCUGGCCUGUUCUUGACGCUGAGGCGCGAAAGCUAGGGGAGCAAACGGG
rnacentral:rRNA from 1 species